CCUACGGGAGGCAGCAGUGAGGAAUAUUUGUCAAUGGCCGGAAGGCUGAACCAGCCAUGCCGCGUGAAGGUCAGUGCCCUAUGGGCGUUAAACUUCUUUUGUGCGGGAGCAAUAAUGGUCACGUGUGGCCAGACGAGAGUACCGUACGAAUAAGCAUCGGCUAACUCCGUGCCAGCAGCCGCGGUAAUACGGGGGAUGCAAGCGUUAUCCGGAUUUAUUGGGUUUAAAGGGUGCGUAGGCUGUGAGGUAAGUCAGCGGUGAAAUGCCCCCGCUCAACGGGGUGAAGUGCCAUUGAUACUGCCUGGCUGGAAUGCGGAUGCCGUGGGAGGAAUGUGUGGUGUAGCGGUGAAAUGCAUAGAUAUCACACAGAACACCGAUUGCGAAGGCAUCUCACGAAGCCGCGAUUGACGCUGAUGCACGAAAGCGUGGGUAUCAAACAGGAUUAGAUACCCUAGUAGUC
rnacentral:rRNA from 1 species